AGAGUUUGAUCCUGGCUCAGAACGAACGCUGGCGGCAGGCCUAACACAUGCAAGUCGAGCGCCCCGCAAGGGGAGCGGCGGACGGGUGAGUAACACGUGGGAAUUUUCCUCAAGGUACGGAACAACUCAGGGAAACUUGGGCUAAUACCGUAUGAUGCAGAGAUGCCAAAGAUUUAUCGCCUUGGGAUAAGCCCGCGUCAGAUUAGGUAGUUGGUGGGGUAAUGGCCUACCAAGCCUGUGAUCUGUAGCUGGUCUGAGAGGACGAUCAGCCACAUUGGGACUGAGACACGGCCCAAACUCCUACGGGAGGCAGCAGUGGGGAAUCUUGCGCAAUGGGCGAAAGCCUGACGCAGCCAUGCCGCGUGAAUGAUGAAGGUCUUAGGAUUGUAAAGUUCUUUCGCCCGUGACGAUGAUGACGGUAACGGGAGAAGAAGCCCCGGCUAACUUCGUGCCAGCAGCCGCGGUAAUACGAAGGGGGCUAGCGUUGUUCGGAAUUACUGGGCGUAAAGCGCGCGUAGGCGGUUUUGCAAGCCAGAGGUGAAAUGCCCGAGCUCAACUUGGGAAUUGCCUUUGGGACUGUGAGGCUUUGAGGACGAGAGAGGUGAGUGGAAUUCCCAGUGUAGAGGUGAAAUUCGUAGAUAUUGGGAAGAACACCGGUGGCGAAGGCGGCUCACUGGCUCGUUUCUGACGCUAAAGCGCGAAAGCGUGGGGAUCAAACAGGAUUAGAUACCCUGGUAGUCCACGCUGUAAACGAUGAGUGCUAGGCGUCGGCAGGCUUGCCUGUCGGUGCCGCAGCUAAC
rnacentral:rRNA from 1 species